rnacentral:tRNA from 1 species
AGGGAUGCAGUUCAGUGGUCGAGCGCUUGCUUACCAUGCAUGAGCCAUGGGUUCAAAUCCCAAUACCGCUC